rnacentral:lncRNA from 1 species
GAGCCAUUAUUAAGUAAAGAAGAGUUACUUGAACACAAGCACUACAAUACGUCCAGUUGACCUGAUGAUUGAUCUGAUAACUGAGAUGGCUACUAAGUGGCUCACAGGUCUCACUCUGUUGCCCACGCUGGACUACAGUGGCAUGAUCUCAGCUCACUGCAACAUCUGCCUCCCAGGCUCAAGCAAUCCUCUUACCUUGAAGCAGAAGAUGCAAGAAGAAAAAAAACAAACUUUCUUCCUUUCCUGUGGCUUUUAGAAAAACAGUGGCACCACACCACACCCAGGACCUGGAAUAGGUGGAAUGGCAGCCCCUCAAAAUAUAUGUCCAUGUCUUAAUGCCGAGCCGCUGUGAAUGUGGCCUUAUUUGGAGAAGGGGUUUUUGCAGAUUAAUUAAAUUAAGGACCCUGAGAUGAGAUCAUCCUGUAUUACCAAGGUGGGCCCCAAAUCCAAUGACAGAUGUCCUUAUAAGAGACACAGGAGGAGAAGACACAGACACAGAGGAGAAGGCCCUGUGAAUACAGAGGCAGAAACUGGAGUACGCAGCCACCAUUCAAGGCAUUUGGUCAGCCACAGAAGCUGGAAAAGGAAGUGGAAUCUCUCCUAGAGCCUGUGGAGGGAGCACAGCCUUGCCAACACCUCGACUUCAGAUUUCUGUUUUCCAGAACUCUGAGAGAAUAAAUUGCUGUUGUUUAAGCCACUAAGUUGACAGGAAUUUGCUAUGGCAGCCCUAGGAAACUCACAUAACACCACAGCCAGGCUUCCAGUCUCUCACCUGAAAAAGAGAGGUCCAAACACAAACAGCGUGGCAGGGAAUGCUAGAGAUGCCCUCAUAACACUGGUGACAAACUAGACGAGAUCUUUCAAACCCUCACUCUGAAAGACAACUAGAAUAGCUAGGCCUUACCAAUUUCCAACUAGGAUUCAUGACUGAUGGAAUCAGGUUUUACAGUUCCUAAUUUUUCCAAGUUUUGAGUAGUUUUUUUU